UACAGAGGUCUCGAGCGUUGUUCGGAUUCAUUGGGCGUAAAGGGUGCGUAGGUGGCGAGGUAAGUCGGAUGUGAAAUCCCGGGGCUCAACCCCGGAACUGCAUUCGAUACUGCCUUGCUAGAGUACUGGAGAGGAGAUUGGAAUUUACGGUGUAGCAGUGAAAUGCGUAGAUAUCGUAAGGAAGACCAGUGGCGAAGGCGGAUCUCUGGACAGUUACUGACACUGAGGCACGAAGGCCAGGGGAGCAAACGGG
rnacentral:rRNA from 1 species